rnacentral:rRNA from 1 species
CCUUCCUAGUGAGUUAGGUGCCCGACAAUUGUAGAACACACAGUGUUUAAAAGUAAAAAAAAGAGC